UUUUCUCCUGUCUUUACCCAGUGGGCCUGCACAUACUGCCAUGUGGCCUCAGACGCUGGUGGCAGCGGUCUUGUGACGAGAAGGUGAACCAACCUCAGAACAUAGCCAAUAGAGUGAGCAGCAAAGCGGAGGCCAAUUAACCCUGGAUCUCUGCGGACAUCGUAAAGCUGCUGAAUCAACCUCCCCAGAGGUCCAGCUCCUGGCUGGUCUUUGAACUGGGAGAUAACAAGUUCCCUUACCAUCAACAGCAUCUGAAGACUCAGCAACUUUCUUCCAGCGAAUGAUGUCCCUCUUUAAAGUUCACACUCUCUUUAACAGAUGUAGAAAUUCCAACAAACACAUCUGGACAGGUGGUUACCAAGAUAACUCUCCAAAAUAGGUCCAAAAUGGGACUCAGGGCCACCAGUGAGAUUUUCAACAAUUCAUCCCCCCAUGAACUGUGAGGGCCACC
rnacentral:lncRNA from 1 species